CGCAGAACGUUAGGAAAUUAAAAAGGAGGAAGAAACGGGUCCGACUCCAGCCCUCGUCGGUGCAUCCCAAACGACGCGCAGGGUAUUCAUAAGAAUGGAAGCGGUGUUUCCUUGCCAGAUUCCUCAUUGCUGUAUCUCAUGAACCUACCUAGUCUUGGGGAAGAGACUUUAUUUAAUGAUGACAAACCUGUUACCCGUGUAGCACCAGCAGUGAGAGGACAAAAACAAAUAGAAAUAACACAUUUAAAUUAUAUUCAACAAGGAAGUCAUUUCAGUCAACAACUUCUGCUGCAUUAUUUUUCCAAGAUGAACUGCUACACAACCAUGAGACAGUGGGGGAUGGCACCUACGGGAGUGUGCUUAUGGGCAAGAGUAACGAGUCUGGGGAGCUUGUGGCCAUCAAAAGGAUGAAGAGAAAGUUCUAUUCUUGGGACGAAUGUUUGAACUUGAGAGAAGUUAAGUCUCUGAAGAAACUUAAUCAUGCCAAUGUGAUUAAACUGAAAGAUGUUAUCAGAGAAAAUGACCAUCUUUAUUUUAUAUUUGAAUAUAUGAAAGAAAACCUCUAUCAAUUAAUGAAAGACAGAGUGCUGACAACAUCCUAGUGACUUCUGAGCAACCGAGAUGCGAGCUGCGAAGGGUUGAAAGCUUCAUCCUUGGCCCGGACUUGGAGUUGAGGACAGUGGGCCAGGCUGGGCGGGUUGGGGAGACAUGGCCAUCAGGCCCCUGUGCUGUCAUCUCAGCAGCUAGAGAUUGACACCUUGGGAAGUGUACCCACAUGGGAAGAACCGACCCAUCAAUCAA